rnacentral:snoRNA from 13 species
UGACCCCAAGGAAGGAAUGAUGUUCCCCUGAGACUCAAGAAAAGGAUUCUGAGCCUUGGCUUUGAGGGUGCCACUUGAUCCCUGACCUUCCUGGGCAAA